rnacentral:rRNA from 1 species
UACGUAGGGUGCAAGCGUUGUCCGGAAUUAUUGGGCGUAAAGAGCUCGUAGGCGGUCUGUCGCGUCUGGUGUGAAAAUCCAGGGCUUAACCCUGGACCUGCAUCGGGUACGGGCAGACUAGAGUGCGGUAGGGGAGAUUGGAAUUCCUGGUGUAGCGGUGGAAAUGCGCAGAUAUCAGGAGGAACACCAUGGCGGAAGGCGAUCUCUGGGCCGUAACUGACGCUGAGGAGCGAAAGCAUGGGGAGCGAACAGG